rnacentral:rRNA from 1 species
AUGCUCGGCUGCUUCCCCGCCGUCGUGGGCGGCCGGAGGCCCCCCAAGUCACCGCCGUCGGCCCUCCUUAACCUUACCUACGACGACGGCUCCACCUCCACCUCCGUCUCCGUCUCGCCGCCCUCCUCCGCCUCCACCUCCUCCCCGGCCUUCCUCGACGACGACGACGACGACGCCGACGCGCAGGCCGACGUCGGCGGCCUGUCCUCCGCCAUCGCGUCCCGCCGCCUCUCCCUCGCGCCCCCCGGCCGCUCCAACUCCAUCGUCGACUCCUCCUCCUCCGAGCACGCCACCGCUCCCUGUCCAUUCAUCCCGUCGCAGGAGGCGGUGCGGAGCGUCACCAUGUCGACGGACGCGCCCCGCGCCGAGUUCCUCAAGUCGAUGCUGGAGAUGGCGGAGGCGCUGGGCCUGGACCCGCGCCGCGGCGCCGACCGCGCGCGCAUGCACGACCUCCUCUUGUGCUACAUCGCCAUCAACGACAGCGACACGCUCAGGGACAUCCUCGGCGCAUUCACCGAGCUCCUCUGCAUCCUCAACGGCAACACCACCGGCGACGGCGACGGCACCAGGACAACGCCAUCGUCGACGGCGACAGCAGACAGAGCGACGCAUAGGUAG